AGCAACUUUCAAAAAUUAAAAAAAAAAGGUCCUAUUUGGUUAUUUGGCUUGCUUUUAUUUUCAUUACUGUAGGAGGUGGAUUUAGAAAAGAUCUACCCGCAGUGUAUGAACAAAGAAUGUUCUGCCUCAGUCUCCCUCUCAGAGUUUUAAUGUGUCUGGCCCUCCACUAUGGUCUUUAAAUCCAUUUGGAUUUUAUUUCCGUCUAUGGUGUUAGCGUGUGUUGUAAUGCCGUCCUUUGACAUGGAGCUGUCCAAUUGUCCCAGCCCCACUUAUGGAAGAGACUUUGUCUUUUCUCCAUUGUAUAGUCUUGCCUUCUUUGUCAGCGAUGAGAUGACCUUGAAUGUGUGGGGUUUAUCUCUGGACUUUGUAUCCUGUUCCUUGGGUCUGUAUUUCUUUUUUUUUGUGCCAAAACCAUCCUGUCUUUUUUUGUUUCUCCCCCUUUGAUUUAUUUUUUACUGAAGCAGAGUUGCUUUACAAUGUUGUAAUUUCUGCUGUAGAACAAAGUGAUUCCGCCAUGUGCAUGUACAUUUAUCCCCUCCGUCUGGAGCCUCCCUGCUUUCUUAUUUGUAUUUGUGCCCCAUAUUCUUAACCCAUCCCAGUGUCUCUGGGCACUUCAGUUGGGUCCCUGUCUUGCCAAGUGUGAAUAGCGCUGAAGUGAACGUUGGCGGGGUGGUGCGUGCGUCUUUUUGAAUUCUGUUUUUUUCCUCUGGGUGUACACUCAGGAGUUGGAUUGCUGCUUCCUAUGGCAGCGUUUAAUGUUUUAAGGAACCCCCCACAGUGUUCUCUGCAGCGAGGCUACAAUUUAGAUUCCUACCAACAGCGCGGGAGGGGUCCCUUUCUCCCACGGCCUUUACCGUCGGUCAGUUUUCAAACCAUGGUCCCGCUCUGACUGGUGUGAGCUGCUACCUCAGUGUAGUUUUGAUCUGCGUUUCUCUCUGAUAAUGAGCCGUGUUGGGCAUCUUCUCAUCUGUCUCCCGGCCACCUGUGUGUCUUCUUUGGAGACACACGUCUGUUUAGGCCUUCUGCCCGUUUUUUGACCGGGUCGUUUGGUUUUUUCGUUGUGUAACUGUGUGAGCUAUUUGUGUAUAUUUUAGAGACGAAGCCUCUGUUCGUGGCUCCUUUGUAGAUAUUUUCAUCUUGUUUGCGGUCUCCUUUGGCUCUGCUAAAGCUUUUCAGUGUAAUUAGAUCCCAACUGUUUUCGUCUCUUUGUUUUCACCUUCGUUACUCUCGUAGCUGGGUUUAUGAUUUAUCUCACAGAGUACUCUGCCUGCGUUUUCCUCUAGGAGCUUUGUACUCUCUGGCCUUACAUUUAGGUCUCUGAUCCAUUUUGAGUUUAUUUUUUGCUUAAUGGUAUUUUAGAGAGUGUCCCAAUUUUCCUUCUUUUACACGUCCAGGUUCCCCAGCCCCACUUAGGGAAGACACUGUCUUCUCUCCAUCGUAUAGUCUUGCCUCCUCUGUCAGAGAUGAGUUGACGGUAGGUAUGUGGGUUUAUCUCUGGACUUUGUAUCCUGCUCCUUUGGUCUGUAUUUCUAUUGUUUAUGCCAGGAGCACGCUGUCUUUUCUUGUUGUUGUCGUUGCGUUUCCUUUUUUAGUUUUUUACCGAGUAUAGUUGAUUUACAGUGCGCUGUGAGUUCCGCAAUGAGCCAUAGGCAUACAUGUACCCCCUCCCUCUUAAGCCCCACUCCCAACCCCAUCCAACGCCUCCAGGUCAUCACCGAGCCCCGAGCUGGAUUCCGUGUGCUAGACAGCAGCUGCCCGCCGGCUAUCCCUUCUACGCAUGGUCGUGUGUACAUGUCCGUGAAACCCUCUGAAUUCAUCCAGCCCUCCCCGCCCGUUCAUGCAUCUCUGUCUGCCUUCCUGCCUUAUAAACAGGUUCAUCUGUACCGUUUUUCUAGAUUCCACAUGCACGCAUUAACACGCGAUAUCUAUUUUUCUCUUUCUACUUCGCUCUGAGAAUCUCUGGGGCCAUCCACGUCUCUCCAAAUGACCAGAUUCUCCUCCUUCUCGUGACUGGGUCAUGUUCCAUGGACGGUAUCACCGACUCCAUGGACAUGACUUUCAAUAUCUUUGGUUUUGGUAUCGGGACGAUGGUGCCCUGAGAUGAGGACCUGUGAGGAGAUACGAACUUCACGUUCUCCUUUUGAGCCAUAUCAACUCUGCCCGAAAGCAGAGAGAACAUUGAGCUUCCAAUAAAACAGAAAACAGGGUCUUAAAGAAAGAUUCACACACCUAUGUUCAUAGAGGCACUGUUCACAACUGCUAAAGUGUGCAGACAAACCAAGGAGGGAUGAAUUUAUAAGUAAAAGGUGGUCCACCCAUAAAGGGGAUAUUACUCAGCCUUUAAAAAGGCUUUCCUGGAGGCUCAGAUGGUAAAGAAUUUGCUUGCAAUGUGGGAGACCCAGCCACCCACUCCAGUGUUCUUGCCUGGAGAGUCCCAUGGAUAGAGGAGCCUGGCGGGCUACAGUCUGCGGGAUCGGAAAGAGUCAGACGGGACUGAGCGAGUUUUACUUUUAAAGAGGGAGGAAAUUCCAGCAGACGCUAACGAUGUGGAUGAACCUUGAGAACUUGGUUGUUGUCUAAUUGCUCGGUCCUGUCCAACUCUGAGACUCCAUGGACUGCAGCCUGCCAGGCUCCUCUGUCCGUGGGAUUCUCCAAGCAAGAAUACUGGAGUGGGUUGCCAUGCCCUCCUCCAGGGGGUCUUCCCGACCCAGGGAUCGAACCCUCAUCUCCUGCGUUGGCAGGCGUAUUCUUUACCGCUGAGCCAUCUCGGAAUUAUGCUCAGUGAAAUAGACCAGACCCAGGAGAGCAGAUACUCUAUGGGUCCACUCAUGUGUGCUCCCUGGAGAAGUCAGAUUUAAAGGACAGGACGAUGCUGCUUGGCAGACACUCGGAAGCUACAAUUUAAUGGCAACCCCUUCAGUUUUCGGAGAACAGUUGAGUCCUGGAGAUGGAUGGUGGUGUGAGUUCCAUAACCCUGUGAAUGUACUUAAUGCUGCUGAACUGUAUGCUUUUAAAUGGUUAAAAUGAUAUAUUUUAUAUUAUGAAUAGCUCACCACAGUGACUAUUUUUUUAAAAAGGCGGGGGGGGAGCGGGAAUCAAAAUGGCUCAGCAAAGCUGUCCAAGUUCUUUGGCACUCACUGGCUAGUUCCUGGAAAGUGGAGACUCCGUGUCUCCUAGAAAAGUCAGCCUUCAACAGAGCCCGUGUUCCUCAGAGCCUCCGUGAGGCUGCCCCGCAGGUGGGCAGAAGCCCGCAGAGCCAGCUUCCGCUCAGUCACGUAGAGCCGGCCGAGCUGUGACGGGUAAAUGGGGAUUGCCACGUGUCGGUCGGCCAAACGCAUGGACGGUCACAUGUUUCCUCUCGGGAGAAAGGAGAACAAAUGGCCUCAUCGUUGGAAGAAUAUGUUCUGUGGGGAACAGGGAAGCUGGUCGGGACUCGAGAGGAAGAAUUCUUUCUUUAAAAAAAAAAAAAGACAUUGUAUUUAUUUAUUUAUGGCGGCACUGGGUCUUCAUGGUUCCAAGGGUGUUUUCUCGAGUUGCGGUGAGCUGGCUUCUCGUGGCGAGGGCUCCUCUUGUUGCAGAGCAUGGACUCUAGGGCCCCCGGGCUCAGGAGCUGUGACGCAUGGGCUUCGUUGCUCCGUGGCAUGUGGGAUCUUCACAGACCAGGGAUCGCAGGAUAACAGAAUAGCAGGUGACUGCAGAAAUAUAUACAUACACACACACAGCACAUUUAAAAGAAGGUGAAUUCUGCCAACUAGAAGGAACUUGCCGUUUCCUUCUCCGGGGGAUGUUCCCCACCCAGGGAUCAAACCCGUGUCUCUUGCAUCUCCUAUAAAUAUAUAUAUACACACACACACACCACGUUUAAAAGAAGGUGAAUUCUGCCAGCUAGAAGGCAGAAUUCUCUUCCAGGUGGAAGAGAAGCUCGACCUUCAGGUGAAAACACGGGUCUUCACAACUGGUUAAGAUACCGAAGAUGAUCGCCUCUGCUACCUCUGCCAGUGGAUUUCAACCCAAUGGUCCGUAGGUGAAACAUCUAAUCCUCCAAUCCUGUAAACCUAUCUGAGUCAGGCAGCACGUGUCUGUGGCGGAGGUGAAAUAACAGGAUAGCAGGUCAGUGCAGAAGCGUGAUGACGUCCCCCACCCUGUGUUCAGGUCUCAUGAGGCUGCAGAAAGCGGUUCGGGGUUAAGCGCCGCGGAGGUCUCUGCUGUGUCUCAGAGCCGGGCUAUUUCACAGGAGAGGAGCGUUGGGCAGAUCCUACCGCACAGACUAUUUGUGAAGAAACCACAGGUCGUUCAGGUGAAGGGCUGACAACCUUCCCCGUGAGUCCUGGUGGUGACCUCUUCAGCAUUCAGACACGGCAGUGCAUAUGCAGGGGCAUUCCCAGGAUGAACCCACGUGGCGAUUAGGCAACUUCAGCAAGUCCACCUUCACACCAGGUGGGGUCUGCAGGUGACUAACCAUCAUGUCCGUUGACCUUGUCCACUCAUCUCAUCCUCACUUGUUUUCUCAAUGUAAGAGAAGCAUCGGGCACCAGUGGUCACCAGCACAUCUGUGUCAUUAUUUUAACAGAUUUAGAAAAAGCACCUUUAGGGGAGGGGGUGGUUUCCCUGGUAGGUCAAUGGUAAAGAAGCUGCCUGCAAUGCAGGAG